CCGUGAUCAUUAUGAGCAGUUUCCACUUUAGUAGGAUAAUGCUCAACCUCAGUGUAGGUGAUAUUGGAUGACUUUGCUGUAAUCGCAGAUCAAGUACAGCACCAGACGGCUCGAUGGUUUUGGGCUCACAGACGGGGAAGGAAUGGAAAGUCUGCGGUCUUUCCUCCGAAGAUUUGCCAGAGUCACAAAGGAGAUGACUCCCUCGCACCGCCUGGACCUGUUGACUGAUGCCCUUCUGCUCUAUGGACGGAGGAAAUCCACUGACCCACGUUUGUCUACAAAAUUCUGUCCUGGUGGUUUAAGCUGAUGACACACAAAUUGGUGAGCAGAAGGAAACAAAAGUUGAGGUGCAGCUCCUGCAAAAAUUAGACAAGGCAGAGAAAAUAUCAAUCCUCGCUCAAGAAGACAUCUCAUCUGUCAUCAGAGAAGCACCAGUGUUUGUCUCAGAGCGAGACAUGGAGAGAUGGAAGAAAAGGAAGCUGGAGCUAGCCCAAGAAAAACCAAGUCACUAAACACUGUCUGUAGAUGGAAAAGGGACGACAUCACUAAGCUGAUUCAGUUCUACAUGUUCAAGUAAGCGUUCAGUUUGUUUAUGGAAGACUAUAUGGGAAUUACACCCAUCUUAACUUGAGCGCCUUACUGAUGUGCUUAAACAUGGAAGCCUAGGUGUGAUUACAUAGCUAUGAGCGAGACAAUAACACCGUCCUGUUUUCUAGGAAACUGUCACAAUGCAGUAAUUAAAUAUGGUGUGAUUAAUAAUCAAUUAGCACCAAGCUCCCCCCUGUAACGUACAAUGUUUGGUCAGGUGCAGCACAGGAAUGUUUUCUGGUUGGUAAUUACUGAUACUUUUUAUAAUAUACAGAUCUGGGACUCGUGAGUCACACAUGGAGGA